rnacentral:pre_miRNA from 1 species
CAUGUACUCCCUCCGUCCGGAAAUACUUGUCGGAGGAAUGGAUGUAUCUAGACGCAUUUUAGUUUUAGAUGCAUCCAUUUAUAUCCAUUUCCGCGACAAGUAUUUUCGGACGGAGGGAGUACUAU